CUUGUCCAAGUGUGGGCUCACCAUUUCUCCAUCUGUAAGGAAGCACCCUUCUAUAGAAGUACAUUGCCUUGCUGAGAAUGAAAAAGAAAAUGUUAUAGUCAAGUGCUAUUUCUUUUGUGGCACCAAAACUUUAUUUAUAACAAUUUGAGGGCUCGCUGGGGAUUACAUUCCCCUCUGGGGGCGGUCUCUGGUUCUCUCUAGUGAGGCGGCGUGCCCCGCCCCCCUGUGGCGGUCUCAGCGGUGAGAAAUCAGGACCCAUGCAGUGCGAGGAAUAACCCGAGCUCUCAGCAACGCGGAAAGAAACUUGCCAGCAACCUAGCUUAAAGGAUCCUCACAUACUACCGCGACGACUCUGCACAGACCAAGGAAGGAGCAGCUGUGGGAGCCGUCUUUUAGCACGGAUACCACCCCUAGAACUUCUGGUAAACCAGUGCCAGCCUGAGGAUCACGUUCUCAUCAAAGGGUGGAAAGAAGGAAAACUUGAGCCAGCCUGAGAAGGACCCUACCUUGUGCUGCUGACCACCGAGACUGCUGUUCGUACACCGGAAAGGGGAUGGACUCAUCACACCCGAGUCAAGAAAGUGCAGCCCCCUCCAGAGACGUGGGCCAUAGUCCCAGGGAAAAGC
rnacentral:lncRNA from 10 species